CCUUGGCUUCCCGAAGUGUUGGGAUUAUAGGCGUGAGCCACUGCACUCGGCCACAAGAUUGUUUUUUGUUUCUUUCCUGAGGAACUGUAAGAUUAGUACUGAAGGUGACAGCUCACCCUUAGGGAGCUGAUGGUGGUAGCAAACAUUAUUGAGGCAGCAGUCUCUGUUCCUUGCUUGUAUUUUUUUGCUUAUUCCCAUUCUUCAGAUGAAGUAAAAGCCGUAGAGAAAUGAAGGGACUCUUGUAAGUCCCCACAGGUAAUAACCUCAGAGACAGUGUUAGAACCCAAGCUGUUUGUCUUUACCCUGACUUGUAACUUUGGUUUUUUGGGAGCCUGACACAGUUGGAUCAUUUGGUAUUUUAGAACUUACCCAAGACAGGAGUGGCGGUGGACAGGAAGCUCCAUGCUGGAGCUCCAAACCAGCCUUGAACUGAACUGUUGAAUCAGGUCUGUGUGCAUCUUCAAACCAGGCUGUGACAUGGAGGGGAACAGAAUGGAGCCUUCCCUCAUCACUCAUUUGUAAUCCCAACCACCCUCUCUUCAUUUUGCUGGCUUUUCCCCCAUUAUGUUACCAUCUGUCUCCAAAACAUUGCCUGGGUAAAGACAAGCUGGAGCAGUUGCUCGCCCUCAAACAAAACACAGAACUACUUCUCCUCACUCCCAUUCCCCCCCACCCCCACCCCCGACUAGUGCCAAGCACCAUAUUUGAGGAAUUCCAUAUUUAUAAAGCUUGCUUGCACCUCAAUGAUGCCUGCUUGCUGUCCUUUUUAUUAUUCUUCAAAUAUGUUAUGUGCUGACUGGAAACGAUUAGCUUUUGUUACUGAGGGGUUUGUGGGAUGCUUGAAACAGCUUCAUAUAGUUCUCAGAUGGAAAUGCGUGCUGUUUGCUCCUUUAAGAAAUGAAAUUUCUUAAUGAAAGACAGCAUAGAGGAGAAUGCAUACUGAGGUUCCCCAUCCAACUCUCUGGGUUUCUCUUAGGGUAAUUGUGGUAGGGUUUUAUGUCAUGGCCCUGUGGAGCGAAUAAACAGUGGAUCUUGGGUACUUUUUUCUGAGUCUGUACCCAUCUCUUCAUGCCUCUGACUAGGGGCCCUUGUUAAUGUUAAGGGCAGUACUCUGUCCCCAACAGAGCUGUAGUGUUGCCCCCAGUCUCUGACCCACUCACCUUCUUUCCUGGCUGAUGACACUUCCAGUGUCCUGACACAUCUGGGCAGACUGGAAUUGGAGUUCUUAAAUGCCCUCUCUGACUGGCCCCAGCUUGAUUCUGCACUGGCCUUAGGAGACUCCACAAAGUUUGGAGAGGAAAGACCCAAACAGGUCUCAGAUGUAAAACUGGAUGAGUAUUUCAACUGCUGAAACUUUAGGAGGAAAAUAUGGAUUGGCUAUGUGUUUGCCAACAUGAGUAAAGUAGUUACUAGUGAUUCUUUUUUAAAAAAGUUAUGGAAUCAUAUUUUUCUCAUUCAGAAGUGUUACUUAGGGAAUGACUGAGAUGUGUAUGACUCCAGAGUUCUCUGUCAGACACUGUUCUCAGCCCUUAACGUAGAGUCAUUUUAUAAUCCAGGUGCCACAGCUAGGAAUAGCAGAACCAGAAGUCAAGCCCCAGCAAGUCUGACUCUGGAAGCUAGACUCUUCAAAGAUGUCAUAGGCCCUUUUAGAUGCCAGAGUUUUAGGUGUUCCAUUUUAUUCACAUUCUAUUUUCAUAACCUGUGUUUAUUUCCAUUGAAAGCCGUAUAAUUAUAGACUUUAUGUUCUGUAUCUUAGCAAGGUAACUGUCUUUAAGCCAAUAAAACUUAAUACGUUACUGUUGAAGUAUGAAUAAGUUUUAAUAACCGAGAAAUACACACACAUACUUAGAAUUCAAAAGUAUAAUUGGGAAGUGCACUCGAAAUAGUUUCACGUGAUUUUAAUUUCUGAAAAUCAAUUCUGUAUGUAAAUUGAAUGUAGUGUUUAUUCCAGUAAAACCCUGCCGGAAGUCUUUUUUAUAAAGUGAAUAAUCAACUCCUGAAUUAACUGUUACACAUGGUUUCCGUGUGUAUACCUUUUCUGUGCUCUCAUCUACCAAUCUGAAAAUUAGAUAUCUGAACAUUUUUCUGUGUUUCAAAUGUUGGAUGUAUUUCCUGUAUCAUAAUAAAACUAGUUAUCCAUCAAGGCGUAAUCAACAGUAAAUGCCAAGCCUUAGAGCAGUUGCUGACUUUGCUCAGGGUUAAAGGAAGUAUGCUGAAAAGAGAUAACUGUAGUUCAGUUGCUCAGUCCAAGCCUUCCAGAUUUUCAUGUGGGGAAUUGCACUUCUUAUUACUGUAUUCUUCCUGUCUACGUAAUACCUGGGAACAAUUUACUCCACGUAAUGCCACUCCCAUCUUGGUAGUAAAGUUUUUACUGAAGAGGAAGACUUUUAGGGCAUGUCAGUAUAUUUAAUUGGAAUUUUCACUGGUGACUUUCAAGUUUUGAUUUCGCAGCUUUUAGGCAGGUCAAGACUAAAGGACUCUACAGAUUUUUUGGUAAUGUGAUUGUAUGACGUGUGUGCCGUGUGUGAGUAGCUCAGCUUAGAGUGUGAAUUGCAGUCAAUGCAAAAGUGAAAGCUGCAACAUGGCUCUCAUGCUCCCAACCACUUCCUGAAGAACCCCGCCACGCGGGCCCCAGACUUAGAGACUUGAAUCCUCAGGAUGGAAAGAGUCCAAGUCCCUCAUGGUAAAGACCUCAAGUAAACCUAAACGUAGAAAACCUGUUUGCUACUCUAGUGUGAAUUCAAACGUUUGGUUGCCUCCAUUGUAAAAAUUUCAGGGCACAAUUCUGAAAUUUAAAAUAUUAGGGAAUAGAGCCAGAGCGUUGCCAUACCUUAAAAAUAAUCUUUCAUCUCUCCUGUUUACAUGAUUCAACCCUUGAAACCAGUUGGAAUGUGCGUCCUGAUCUCUAAAUGUACAAGUUAUUUAAAAAAAAAAAAAUGUGAGCUUGUCAGCUUAGCUACAGCCACCAGUCUAAUAAAACUGAGUCACAUCCAAAUGGGCUGCACUUAAACUACCCUCCUAUUCUAGGGAAAACGUGGCUGGGGGAGGCAGUCUGAGUCAUCACCUGGUUUGUUUGACAUACGCUUCCUUCCAUAAAUUGGGAAUGGCGAGCGGCACAGUGUUCUGGGCUUGCCUGGGAGAAGGAGCUGUUGCAGCUUUGCAUGAUCAAAAUAGGGCCUUUAGGUUUGAAGGAUGAGGCCGAGCCCAUAUUUUGACUCCAGAUGUCGGGGGAGGGGAGAAGAAGUCGACAGAUCCAAACAAGGAAUAUUUGUAAGUACCAUUUUUGGAGGUCGGAGAAAUGGUAGGGGUGUUCACAGUUGAAUUUCUUCCUAGGACAUAAAAGGUGUUUAAGAGACAAAUUAGGGGCAUUCAAAUAAAAAUAAAUGGGUAUCUAUUUCACUAAGUGGGCUCGUUUACUUAACAAGAAUAUUCUUGAUGUGGACAGCUUAAAAUGAUUGAGAGAGAGAUGAUUUGGUAGUUACCAUACAAAUCUGUUCUGACAAUGUUUAAUUUCACUUAAUUUAUUUGACUAUUUUAAAAGAAAUGUAUUUCACCUAGGAAUCUUUUCAUGGCUAAUUUGAAUCUUCUUUAGGAGUAUUUUGAGGGGUUGGGAAGAGAGGCUUAUGUGUCUCGCACAUUUUCCUACAGUGGUUUUGCUGUAGGAAAACCAUUUUAAAAAGUUUAGAAUGUAAAAUUGUUGCAGACUAUAGAGGAAGGGGAAGCAGGAGUAGAUUUAUAGCUGAAGUGGGUUUGUAAACUCGGCCUCUGCUUUGGGAUUAUUUUUUAAUAUGUGCCAGACAUUCUUCUGAUUUUCAUCCUGGCUUGGUUGUGGCUCUUUCUCUGUCUGUGUGAGGCUGGGGUGUUCCCUGUUUUAAAGCCGUAGUUGUCGCAGCCUGGGCGUUUUCUGUUUCGGCUUAUGGCUUUUUUUUUCUCUUUUCCUGAAUGAGUGUCCUUUGUGUAACCCCAGUAAUUCAGAAAUCCUGCAGUCAUAGGGACUGCCCUAUCAUGUGACUUAGGUACUAGGUUCUGGCUGCGAUUGGUCAGCAGCUAAUUGGCGGGUCCCUAUAAGAGGUCUUGGGUCGGGCAUCCGGCCACUCUCCUGCCUGGGCUGCUGCUCAACGGGGGCUGGGGUGGGGGGCGGUGUCUGUCCAGUGAUUCAGCCACAUGUGAUAGAUGACCAAGUGACUGCUUUCUUGGGGUCCGCACACCAGUGGAAGACAGUCAAAGUGGUUGUGACAGACUUGAUCAAACCCUGGGCUUCCUGAACUGGUAACUGUCACUUUAAUAUAGGUUACUGAUUAAACUCAGAAAAAUGCAGCUUAAAAUCUUUGCCAGGAACUUGUGUGGACUUAUUCCCUGUUCCCCCCCUACCCCCCCUUGUUAUGAUUUGUUUUGUCACAGGAAUGAAAUGCAGAUAACUCUUUAGAAAACUUUUGUAGGAAAAGCGCCUCGUGUGAUCUGGAACAAAGACGUUUUAUAAUCAGAUUUAUCAAGCUGUGAAGAGGGAGUUUUAGUGAACGGAAGCAGCAGCAUAUUCUGUCACCAGGAAAUACUCCUUUAUCCAGAAUUGUGUGACUAGGACUUGAGCAGAAGUACCUUGGUUACAGUCCUACCACCCACCCUUGGGGCUUGCUUGUCAUCUUAAUUGUUAGGUAACAGAAUUAUAUAACUCAGCAUUUCUAGUUGGAACCUACUUCUUUUCUUUCCUUUUAUUGGUAAGCUGAAAAUGUAUUAUUAGUUAAUAUUCUAUGGUGUUGUAUAUUCUAUAUAUUCUAUUCUUUGUGUUUUUAAUAAACUUAAAAACUGUAUAGUACUGGUUAGUGGUUGACACUAAUUUACAGAAUAACCUUUAAUAAAAUUUUAUUUACAGAUUUUCCUAUUUGUAUUACCUAGAUUAAAUUUAAAACAAGGGAUAAAAGACCACCUUAACUUUAGUACUAAGAUUUGGAGAAUAGAUACCUUUGAGAAUUAAAAAUUUACCUUUUCUCAUCUAAAUGUACAUUUCUCAUCUAACUGUAAAGAUUUAUAAAAGAUAAUCUUUUGUAUUUUGGCAUUGAAACUGACCACACUAAACCCUUGCCUCACUUUAAUUGUUAGCCUUAUUCAUAAAAGUAGAGUUAUGAACAGUUAGUUUUAGUGGUUUAUGAAAUGUAAGUUUGUGUGUUCUAUAAAUGCUUUAUUUUACAUUGAGGAUAAGACUUAGCCAAACCUAUAUGAACAGUCUUUUCCCCCACUGGUUUGUAGGCAGUGCCAAAAUAUACUUCAUAGAUGGGAUUGGCCUUAACUUAUUUAAAGAGAAAAAAAAGCAAGCAGUCAAAAAAACCCCUGCUUCACCUUGUAAAUUCCACCCUUAUCCUCCCGCCAAGAGCUAACCACACUGGUGAAGCACUAUUAUUAUAACUUGGCAAGUGAGUUGCCUCUUAAAAUUAGACAUCUGUGAUUAAAUAGUUAAAUCAUUCCCUAGAUAUGUAUAUAUUUAGAGCUCCCAGAAAGCUGGUUAUCUUUUCUUAUAGCUAACACAUUUUUAAAAAGCUACUUUUCUCUUGGUGAUAAAUAUGUGUGUGUCAUACUGUGGUAUAGCUGCAUGUCCGAUCAAAUGGUCCUAGUUUCCAAUUGACAGUAGCUUUAUUAAAUCUUUUCUAAGUGAUAGCUGAAGCAUUUUAAAUUCAAGCAAAGUAGGAUUCUAAGACGUGUACUUGGAGCAAAGUUGCAUAGUCAUUUACAUUCUAGAAUAAUCCUAAAAGUAGGAAACAAUAAUUGGCCAUGUGGUCAUGUGCUAAUAAAAGAACACCUUGUCCAAGAUACCAGGCUUUUUCCUGUUUCAGUGCUUUUUGUUCUGACUCUUGCCUCUCCCUGUGGUGUCCUUUCCCACCCCAGGUAUGUACAUGAUUCUUCUCCUCCUACUUCAGGAAUCCACUCAAAUGCCAGGCCCUCAGUAAGGCUUUCCCUAGCCACCCUAUUGAAAACAGCAUACCUCUUAACUGUUUCAUUACUCUAUGAAAUGAUCGUCCAUAUCUAUGGAGGUUUUUUUCAGACUUAAACUUCUGUGAGUGCAGGGGUUUUAUUCAGUGUUGCAUUCCCAGUGCCUGGAAUAAAGAAGUAUUUCAGUAAGGUACUGAAAGGUACUUACUGAAGGUACUCAGUAAGUAUUUCUGGGGUGGAUAAAUGAAUAGUAAAGAGAGCACCAAUCCUGUGACUUAUUCUGUUACCUGCAUUGUAUCUGGGAGGAAGGCUUGAAACUGACAUACUAGUGGGCACCUGGUUGAAUAUCUGUUAUAAUAUGCAUUUUUCUGUAAUUUUCUUUGGUGUUUGAGACAUUUAGUAAACAUAACUGUAUUAUCCUCAGUUCGUAGCAGGAAAGAAUUUUUUAACUGCAAUUUACUUUACAUAUGUGCGUCAUUGCUAGAUUACCCAAGUUAAAGUGACAGGAAGCAACAAAAAUGCUCCAAGCCAUAAUAAAAUGGUAGAUUGGUUUUUUGUUUGCUUGUUUGUUUCUCUCUUGUGUAUAUUUCCAUUUUACUGCAAAACAUACCAAAUAAUUGAUUGUAGAUUUUGCCACAAGGAAUCAUGUAUGCUGUAGAAGUGAAGAGCUAUUCCACUUUUUUUUGUUUGCUGCUGGAUCUCCAGCACCUAAGAACGUAUGUGGCACUUUAUUUAAUGUCACUCAGUCAGUAUCUGUUGGAUAAGUAAAUAAAUCUAGAGGUUGUUUAAAAUUGCAUACAUGAGAUUAUUGUCAAAAUGUCAAUUCAUGAUCGAAAGAAGAUGUGCAUUUGAAAUCUGAUAUCUUCUCUUUUCUUCCACAGAGCCCCUCCCCAGGAGGCAAAGGAUCACCCAGCUGCUGGAAGGUAUAGGUACCCUCAAUGGCUCAGUAGCCAGUGUAGAUCCUGUCUUUCGUAAUCAGCAGCUACAUCUGGCUACUGGGUCUCUGAUGGCAUCUUCUAGCUUCAGCUUCAGUGUCCUGAGAGAGAUUAUUGAUCUCUUAAUAAUCUCUUCAAUGAUGAAAACAGUUCUUAAUAAUGAAAACUUUACCUUGAAUCACACACACACACAGACACACACACACACACACAAAGAGAAAGAGAGAGACAGAGACAGAGAGAAGAGAGAGUCAAGUUCUAGGGUGUUAAGUCCAACAUUAUCAGCUGGGGCUUGGGAACCCUCAAGGUUUUAUGAAUGAUGACAUCUAUUUGCUUUCAAUACUACAAGGGGGAGGAAUCUGGAUAUUUAUCCAUGUUUUACCUCUUACCUCUUUUCGUUUUACCUCUUUUUUUCUCUUUCCUCCCUGUGAAAGGUAUCAUUUGGAUAGAUCAAUCUAUUCAUCUAUCUACUUACCUACAUACCCCUACCCAUCCAUCCAUCUAUCCAUCCUCCCAUCAAUCCAUCCAUCCACCCACCUACUCGCAUACCUAUCCAACCUUCCUUCCAUCCGGCUUUUUCAUCUCUUGACUUUUAGAUGGCAUUUUCAACAUGAUGUGGUGAUUAAAUAAUGAAACUUGAUGAUAUGAUGGUUUAAGGAAAUUUUAUUGGCAGUAGGUAAGUGCCAGCAUUUCUGACUGUUGGUUGUCUUUUCCUUGUGGUAGAAAAGACAAAUGCCAAUUUUGAAAUCUUGAAUGCAGUAGGCAAUUGUGUUGAAAUAGUAUGUGAGAAUUCCUUGCAAGCUGAACAUCCAGGUCUGGGGCAUGAACCUGGCAUACAAUGUAGAUUUCUGUGUUCGUUAGGCAACAGCUACAUUGUCUGCUGGGUUUCAGGCUACCUGGAAACAUGUUCUCCAUUGGCUGUCUCACCGAUGCUUCACCUACUCCUAUAAUGUUUCUGAAUAACUGUUUUCCAGGAGGUAUAAACCAGUGGAGUUUAUCAUUGAAUAGAGUACAGAGAAAGCACCGCAAGAAAGCUGAUCACCUCAGCAAUGAACGAUUUCAGUAUGAUUUCACCCCAGUGGUCUCACACACCAGCCUAGUAAACCAGAGAUAAGGUGUAAUGUCAUCCUUCCUUCUCCCUGCCUCAACUGUCAAAGAUUGACCGCUUACAUGUUGUUUACUUUUUGGCUUAUUUCUGUUCAUAGUUAUUAUCAGAAGGCAUAGCACCCACGAGCCUAAUCGUGCUGCCUUACAACCUUAUUCCUCUUCAUUUUGUCUUCUCACUUACCUGCAGAAACCCAGUUUAUUUUUGUUCUGCCCUUACCACACAGCCUUGUAACUGUUAUGAAUGACCCUCAGUCUCACUGGAAUCUGAAUCACUCAGGAAUUUAGGCAAACUGGAUGUUUUAACCACUGUUCAGCUCUCUUAUGGAAUGACAGAGAACUUGUAAAGAUAAAACACCAGUUUGCAGGAAGAAAGGAAGAGAAUGGAACUUGCUUCUGGAAAAUAUGAGUUUUACAAUGUGUUUUGUCUGUCUGCUCUCUUAAACUUAAUCCUAUAAACAUUUUUUAAGAACUAGCCAUUAAGACUGUUAAGUUCUCAAUUAUAAAGGAAUAAAAUGUUUUAAGGAGGAUUUAUUUGCCCUUGCUUAUAUGAACUGCAUAUUUUUAGUAGAAAAUCAUGUAAUUUAAAUUAGUAUUGAAUGUAGAAAAUGGACAUAUAAAGAAUACAAGGAUGAAUGUCUACAUGUAAUAAUGGAUGGUAGUGAUAUAAUGCAUUUUUGUCAUCCCAUGCUGAAUUCAGUAAAAAUAAAGCUAAUGACUUGGAGCUUUUAAAAUA